GUUAAGCUUUUCGGGGCCCAUACCCCGAAAAUGUUGGUUUAACCCCCUCCUUUACUA
rnacentral:tRNA from 1 species